GGGGUGUGCUCAGAGCAGGAGGCCUAAGGGAUGGUUCCUUUGUUUACACACACCUGACAAGAAUAUGGCAUUAUUUUGACAAGGGGCAAAAACUUGUGGUCUCCCUAUGAACAAAUGCCUAAGUGU